UAAUAUUUGCUGCCGAGGCUCCUUACGAACCUGGCCGGGUACAAUUUUGCUGAGAAUUGCAAUGGAUUGCCGUCUACCAAGCCGGCAAUCUUUUCUCUGUUAUUUCCAGUGCAUUCGUUUGCAAUGUUGCUGGCCAUGCUUUUUCUUGUAGUGAGUACUUUUUUGUACUAAUAAUAACCUUAAUAGCUAAGCUAUUAAACUGAUGUGUUGUUUCAAAAUAUUUAUUUAACCUUAAUAGCUAAACUGAUGUGUUGUUUCAAAAUAUUUAUUUAACCUUAAUAGCUAAACUGAUGUGUUG
rnacentral:lncRNA from 1 species